GAUGUGCAGCUUAGAUUACAUCUUGACCACUUGCUCAAUUGUAAGGUUUCCAAUCAUCCUUCUUUACUAUUGGAAGUUUGUAACUGACUGGAACAGUGCAUGAGGACAUCUGGGAGAGAGUACAGGUCAGAUUGACACAGCAAGUCAUCUUUCUCUGUUCUGCUGCAGGGUGGUUAUGUUUUCAAAGUAGAAUGUUGCCCUUCCUUUCAAAUUAAUGCAAAGUGGUCAGGUUUGAGGCCUUUUAUGCACUCAGCCACUGGCUUCUAAUUUUCUUUUCCAAACUGGAGUAGAUGAAAGCUGGGAGAUCCACUGCAGUUAUUACCAAUGAUGAAUGCAAGACCUCUGUUGCAUCUGAUCCAGCCCACAAUGCAUGCAGCUGUGCAGCCAAAUUCCCUUUUGAAGGCCUUAAUUGAACCUGCCUCUACUACACGCUCAGGCAACGUAUUCUGGACGCUCACGAUUCACUGUGAAAGAACAGUAACGAGAACAUUAAUCUUUGAUUCCUGGAAGAUACGAUACAAUUCUAGAGGGGUUCAGAACUCAUCAGCUUCACACAAAAGAAUCAACAAGCAGAGAAAGAAAUCACGGAUUGCCAUUGUCUGACACAUUCAGAGAAUUCACAUUAAAAUAUAUAGGACAGGCUGAAAGUUGGUCAGAUCAGCAGCUGCCUAUUCCAUCGAAGGAAAGA